rnacentral:lncRNA from 1 species
UUUCGAAGAGCAAGAAUACCUUUCCCAGAAGCUCCCCAGAAGUAGCGCCCCGGUUCCAGUGACCAGAAAUGAGUCAGUGGGUCUCCGCCCACAACUAAACCAAUCAAGGGCAAGGUGAACGAGUCUACCAGGAUUGGCUCGGGCUAAUCAAGAUUUACCCUGGAUCCCUGGAUUUUAGGUAGAGGAGUGACAUGAUCAGAUGAGUAUCUUGAAAAGGCCACUUUGUAUGGAGAACAGAUUGCAGAGCUGUGAGAGAAGGAGGACAUCUGGGAAAGUGUUGCAGUGGUUCAGCAAGAGACGAGUGCAUGAAUUUGAUGGUGGAUGGAGAAGCGAAGGAGUGCCAGAGAUAUUUACAAGGUGGAAUGGACAGGACUUGGCCUGGAUUAGAUAUGGGGAUGAGGAAACUGAGGCUCAGAGAAGGAGGCCACAGCCAGAGAAGCAGCAGAAAUGGAAUCUGUUUUGAUGUCUUCCCUCUCACCAAGCUCUGCUUCUCCUCCAGAUAACAGCACCCUACUUUCCCUUGAGAGCUCACCCUCCUAACUUGCUCUUCAUCCAGGUUGUUCAGAUGGGACUGACUCCGCCCCUCAACCCCAGCUCCAAGUGAACCAGGACUGGCCAAUCAGAAUAUUCCACUCCUUCUCACUCUCCACCACCCCCGCUGGUUCAAGGAUUGUCAUGUGAUAUGAACUAGUCUAAAGACCCUCCAUUCUGGGGUCUUGGACUUCUGGCAGAAAUCUUGGGAACAAGAAACUCUUGGUCCUAAGCUGAGAGGAUGUCAGCCCUGGACACCACCUUCGGCAGGCUUGGUUCUUCAUGUCUCUCCGUCCAGCGGUCCCAGUUCCCAGCAGAGGGACUCUGAUGGUCUAGCACAGGCCAGGCCUCCAGUCCACAUCGUUGUCUGUGGCUAGGAGGAUGGGGUGGGGCACAAACCACCACAUAGCAUCAAUCUCGGAUGCCAGGAAAACAGACAUGAUAAAAUGAAGGUCAAAGCUCUUGCCAGUCCCAACCUCUCCAUGGGUAAAAAUGGGCCCCCAUCUGUCCCCAUUGACUCCAUGACCUGUCUUUGCCAACAAGGUGUUAAUAGAAUUCUCUAAGCCGUGGGCACAAGGCAAAUGGCCCAGCAGAUAACAUGAAUAUGGGAAUCAAGCCAGGUAUGAGCCAAUAGAUCUAAAACUCUGGCGCUGUGGCCAGGCCACAUGCCUGCCUCGAUAUGUUGCUUCUAACACAACACAGGCCAAUGAACAAGGGACCAAAAAUGGCCCCCAGGCUGCCAGUUGGCAACCCCUGCAAAGCUGCUAAAUAGUGCCCCUUUGGGCUGGAUGCCUAUCUUCCUAUGAGGAAUUCUAGCCAAUUCAUCAGCCAACAGUCUCUAUAUGAUUGAGAGGUGACACCAAGGAAACAAAGACCUGGAAAAUAUGUCCUUUUUAUGUGAGGGAUAAAGAAACAAAGAGUGGAUACAGCAUUUGACUUCACAAAGCUUGCAGUCUAAUUAAAGAGAUG